GGAUCCAGACUUUGAUUCUGGCUCAGGACGAACGCUGGCGGCGCGCCUAACACAUGCAAGUCGAACGAGCAAAGAGGAGCUUGCUUCUCUGAGCGAGUGGCGAACGGGUGAGUAACGCGUGAGGAACCUGCCUCAAAGAGGGGGACAACAGUUGGAAACGACUGCUAAUACCGCAUAAGCCCACGGGUCGGCAUCGACCAGAGGGAAAAGGAGCAAUCCGCUUUGAGAUGGCCUCGCGUCCGAUUAGCUAGUUGGUGAGGUAAUGGCCCACCAAGGCGACGAUCGGUAGCCGGACUGAGAGGUUGAACGGCCACAUUGGGACUGAGACACGGCCCAGACUCCUACGGGAGGCAGCAGUGGGGAAUAUUGCACAAUGGGGGAAACCCUGAUGCAGCGACGCCGCGUGGAGGAAG
rnacentral:rRNA from 1 species